UUUAGAAAAAAAAAAAGUUUAAAUACAUAUCUCUAUGUAGCUAAGGUGUCAAAUUUUAUAAGAGUUUUAAACUCUCAUUUCUUCUCCCCUCUCAAUCGUGUCUUGCUAAGCCAAAGACCAACUCAUCUAAAGCCAUGAGCUGUCACAAUUUCCUUAAUUCAUCAAACAAAUCUCCUCCAUAAGUUUUUACCAAACCUUAAUAUUAGCUCAAUCAGAGAAAAACUAGAAAACUCCAGAAAUCCUCAUCUCAUCCCCUGUUUUUUUUACAAUAUUCUGCCUCAAUUAUCUACGGCAUGCAGUCCAGUUUUGUUCUUUGUUGCUUCAUCAAAGUUGUAGAUCUUUUCGAGUUAUUGAAUUUAGGCUCAAAAAUUUCUUCAUUCGGAGUUCGGAGCUAUAAGUUAUAGGCUUUGCAAGUUUGUUGUUGCUGCUGAACUUCUGGAUGCGUUGUUGCUACUGUAUGUUUGUUAUUGCCGUAGUGUUGUUCCGUGUGUGUGAUUUAUGGGUGGUUGUUGUUGGUGCUUGCAACCAUCAUUUUCUUCAUUCUUUUGUGGAGAGAAUGCUUUGGAGAAGUAUAUAAUUCAAGCUAAGAUGGAGGUCAAUGUUAUGAUUCUUGGAGGUUGCAUAUAAUUGUAUUUGGUUUAUCUUGAAGUGAUUAUCGUAUCGAGGUAACCUUUAUGUUCAGCAAAAUUUAUUUAAAUUCCCGUGUAUGCGUUAUAUCGAAUUUUAGAAAUCAUAUAUCGUUUAUAGUCAUGGCCAUGGUUAUAGUGCAUAUUUAUAAGUUAAUUGUGAAUUGAUAUUUGAUGGUUAUGAAAGAAUAGUACUUUUGUUAUGUUAUUGGAAUUGUUCGGAAACUAUAAAGUAUUCUAGAAAUGUGAUUUGAGUAUGAUAAUGAGAAAAUGUUUUCGAAAUGGUUUUAGCUGGCUUAGUUUAUGAACUGAGAUGAAUAGUGGGCAAGGUACAGGUGGAGUAAAAUGAUUUGUAUAUGAGUAAGACCAGAUAAGGUCGAAUAUUAUGUUAAGUUAUGUUAUAAGCCUGUACUUGCCAACGAUUUAUGUAAUGUGAUUAAGCUAUGCCAGCGAUAUAUUUAAAAGAUGAAUUAUUUCCGAACAAUUAUCAAGUUGUUUCUGAUAUGAAAAAUGUUUACGAAUCAAAACCGUUUUGACGGGCUGAAGUAAAGUUACUGAGUUUUUCGCUCAUUUUAGUUUUGUUUUUGUUUUGUAUUUUCUUCUGUAAUUUGCAGGUUUGUAUUGGGAGCUCAUAGUGGAUCGAAAGUAAAGAGUUGAUUAUUGAAUUGGAAAUUAAAUUAGUGAUUCUUAGUUAUAUUUAGAAUAUAAGUUGUUGUAUUAAGUUCUCAUUUGAUAUUUAAGUAUUAUAUUAUUUUGGAAGUCGAGCAAGGUAUUAUGUAAUAUGUUAUUUGGUUUUGAGGAUGACUGUGGUGGGCCCAUAACCCACAGGUCCAGGAUCGCUUUAAGGUUUAUGUUCCGCUGCGAGUAAUUAUUAAUUCGAGGUUUAUUAA